rnacentral:rRNA from 1 species
AGAAUCAACGCUGGCGGCGUGCCUAACACAUGCAAGUCGAACGCGAAAGGGGAGCAAUCCCUGAUCGAGUGGCAAACGGGUGAGUAACACGUGGGUGACCUACCUUCGAGUGGGGGAUAACGUCCCGAAAGGGACGCUAAUACCGCAUGACAUCCUGCUUUUGGAUAAGCGGACAUUAAAGCUGGGGAUCGCAAGACCUGGCGCUUGAAGAGGGGCCCGCGCCUGAUUAGCUAGUUGGUGUGGUAACGGCUCACCAAGGCGACGAUCAGUA